UGACAAACAAAAGUUUAAGUUAAUAAAAACCCUUUCAAAAAACCUCUCUGAAGAUAUAAACUAAGUUAAAGAAUGGAGAAAUCAGAAAUCAAGUCAGAUAUUAUAGAUAGCAUGAAAAAUCAAGAGACAAAGACUUCAAAUUCUUUGCGAAGGACUUCAAGUUGUUGUUGUUUCACUCUUGUUGUACCAACAUACUUUCCUUUCAUUAAAUCCCAAAUCUAUUUCGAGGUAUCUUUUGAAGAAUGGUCUCCAGUAUGCCAGUAUGGGAUAAUCUAUUUCUUGGAAUAGAUAAUUUUUAGCUUUGACAUCCUUCAGUCUUUCCUUAUCCAAAACCUUCAGUUGAGAUUUUGCUAUCACCACACCACAAUCUGGUUCACUGAAACCAGCCUCUAUAAUGCUCCAGAACUCCUUUGAACACAAGAAGUUUUUCAUCGACAUGCUCCAAUAAUAAUAGUGACCAUCAAAGCAGGGAAUAGCAGGUUGGAUGAAAUUUUUACUUUCAGAUGUAAUCAACACUUGUUGCUACAAGAUACCAAGUAAGUUGCGGUUUAUUUUUUCACAACUCACUAUAAGUCUAGCGCUGAUACCACUAUUGAGUUCAAUUGAGUAAACAGUAAUCAGAAAUAUAGAUGUUCUUAUUGAUCGGAGACUCUCCAAAUAAAUAGACAUUACAUAUAAACCUGAUUCCUAAAUAUAAGCAACUAAACACACCUACAACUAAUGAACUCCUAAAACCAGUAACAAUGAUAUCUUCCUAAAGAAAAGGUCCACUAAAAAUCAAUUUUUUUUAUUUUGCUAAUUUAAAAAACUCAACAAAAGUUCAAUUAAUAUGAAAUAAAAUGAGCUUCAUGUUUCAUGUUCUUUAAUCAAAACACAUCUUUUUUCCAAAAAAAAAGAAUAUAAAUGUUUUCGAAUAUUAACUUCUAAAGUAGAUUGUGAUCUAUUCGUGAAUAUGUGUUUAACUAUGGGUCAAUCUAUUUUUAACCCAAUCCAUCGGUCAUCCAAUUAUUUUUACGUUUAGUGUAAGGGAAGAUGAAAUGGGGGAAGAUGUCAUGAGGGGAGGUGAUAACAUGUUGAGAAAUUGAAUACUCCCUAGGUUAUUCUACCUCCUAUUAUUUCUUAAGAUAUAGACGAUUUAAAAAUAAAUAUUUUACUAAAGAUGAAUAAAUACCUAUUUGUAGAUUGGAAAGACUAGAUCUUAUCCUUGUUACUCAAUAAUAAAUUUAACAUCUUUUUUAGGUUUAAAGGGCUUUCUUGAAUCUUAGGAGAAAAUUAGAAUUCAGAGAAUUAAACUUCAUUUUUAAGACAACAAUAUUGAUGGGGUAAGCGGAUGUAUUGUGUAAAUUUUAUUAGGGAAAUACGUUUAAUCAUUUUCAAAAGGUAAUUCAUUUAAACAUGACUCUAGAAUCCAAAAAAAUCAAGUCAUGUAAGAAUAAUAUCAAGACAUGAACUACAAAUAGUUGUAGAUAAAGAAAAAAAAAGUAGUGAAUAGAAAGAAUUUACACCUUGCUUACUCAUUAAUUUAAUUUUGUAAAAAACUAUGGAGAUGAUGCACUGUAAAUAUUGAUUUUUUUCAUCGUCACAGAUGUCCUCCUCUUAACUUAUAUGAGUUCUCUUUAUCUCAGCCGCCGCAGAUGGAAGGCAUACAGUAUGAUGUGAUGAGACUAGUAGAACACAACUAUAUAUAUUAAAUAAAGAUGAGACUCUAGGGUUUCUUGAAGAUUCUACUAACUUUGCUAAUGGACAUUUUCAAAACUCAAUUUGCAAACUAGCCCUAUGUCUUAGUUUAUUGGACCAAAAGACACCAUUCAUCAUUUAAAUUUUAAAAAUUCUAAACCUUAUACCUAGGUCUGAAAUAAUAUUAAAUAUUUUCUAUCAUCAAAACCUUUGAAGACUAAAUUAUCAGCCUCAAAGUCUUAAAUUGCAAAUUAGUUUUUUCAUCUUCAAAGUUUAAAAUACACGAUUUAGAGUAGAAAUAAUAAUAAAUUUCUUCGCUUCCAAAGAUCUCGAUUUUUCUACUUGCUGACCCCCUUCUAUAGCAAAAAAUUUAGGUCAUUCGUUAAUAAAUUGCUCUCCAAUGAUAAAAUUAUUGUCCAAAUCAUCUAUUAUAUUAUUUAUAGUUCUAAAUCAUUGUUAUUUCUAAUUAUUUUUUUCAUUGUUUUAAGUGCUCAAGCACUUUACCAACAAUCAUCGACUACCCUCUUUGUUGAAGAUGGAUUAUGAACAAGUAUAUCUAUUACAUAUCGAUUUGUGUCAAUUAUAAUAAAUCACUUAAUAUUUUUUAAAAUAAUUACAUAUUCUAAUAUAUAAGAGUCUCUUUCCAUUUUAUUUGUUUGUAAAAACAAAUAUUAUAUUAAUAAGACUUAUAGGCAUUAUUACAUGGAUUGUUUGUGAAAUUGUUGUUUAGUAUGUGGGUAGAGGGGUCGUACAAUAUAAAUUACAAAAGACAUGAGUAGUAGAUUAUCCUAAACAAAGAGUUCCCUCCAUGUUUGCUUCUCUCUUAUUGGACAAAAACAAAGGUU